rnacentral:rRNA from 1 species
CCUACGGGAGGCUGCAGUGAGGAAUAUUGGUCAAUGGACGAGAGUCUGAACCAGCCAAGUAGCGUGAAGGAUGACUGCCCUAUGGGUUGUAAACUUCUUUUAUAUGGGAAUAAAAUGUUCCACGUGUGGGAUUUUGUAUGUACCAUAUGAAUAAGGAUCGGCUAACUCCGUGCCAGCAGCCGCGGUAAUAGGGAGGAUCCGAGCGUUAGCCGGAUUUAUUGGGUUUAAAGGGAGCGUAGGUGGAUUGUUAAGUCAGUUGUGAAAGUUUGCGGCUCAACCGUAAAAUUGCAGUUGAAACUGGCAGUCUUGAGUACAGUAGAGGUGGGCGGAAUUCGUGGUGUAGCGGUGAAAUGCUUAGAUAUCACGAAGAACUCCGAUUGCGAAGGCAGUUCACUGGACUGCAACUGACACUGAGGCUCGAAAGUGUGGGUAUCAAACAGGAUUAGAUACCCUAGUAGUC